rnacentral:lncRNA from 1 species
GUGAGUGAUGGCAGUGGGCCAUGUUCAGACCACCAAUGGAGACGGCAAUCUACGAUAAGCACAGCAUUGUCUACACUGAAGAGAGCAGGAGAGCGCGGCAUCUAUUAUCCACCGCUCUUUGGGUUUCCAAAAGCAGGGUUCCCUAAAGGGUGGAAAAAGAGUAAAGCCCUGCUAAUCCCUGAAUCACUUUUAGUUUCUACUGAAUGGUUCAACGUGCCUCUUAUUGUUGCGCAGCAGGCUUACGUCUGCAGCCCAGAAGAGCUGGAUCCUCGGCUGGGCAGCAGCACUGUGUGAGCAGAGUGGCUCCUUUUGCUGUUCUAGUGUCUUGGGCUAAGCAGAGCUCCAACAAUGGCUGCCUAUGCCCAGUGGCCCUGCGUGCGUUGUGGGGUAACGACCCCGGAGCCCCCCCCCCCCCCCCCCAGUCCUCUCCCUAGGCCAGAUGCAGCUCAGCACCACCCUUUGUGAGAGGGCUACGAUUGGUUGGAUUGCUGCACUGUCAUUAUGGCAGUGAUAAUAAGAGCGAAAGAGAUCUGCUCAGGCCAGGUCUCCUAGUGAUGGACGGCACGAUGUUGACUUGAUUUGAAGCAUAAAUGUAAUGAAUAUAGUGUCAUACUUUGAAGAUUAUUCAUGAAUAUUGAAAGGAUCACCAUAGACCAUUAGCCUUUUUUUUUUGUUGUUGUUGUUGAUGUGAGUAUGUAAACACUCCACUUUAUGAUUUGGUUUUUGGUGUCAAAUAAGAUCAAUAAAUAUAUAUAUGUAUAUUGUAGGGUAAUCAUCAACAUAGUGAUAGGAACACCGACAACAUUGGUGGUGGCAGUCGAAAAUAUGGACAAAUGAUUGAACUAAAGGAGAUCCUACAUCUAAUCACUGUUUUGAUUGUUUGUUUGUUUGUUUUGUUUUGUCUUGUUUUUGUUUUAUUUUUUUUAUUUAUUAUAUUUACUUAUUUAUUUAUUUAUUUUAUUUAUUUAUUUUAUUUUAUUUUUUCCACAAAGUCUUGUUUUUUAAACGAUUUAUGAUGACUAUAUGCUCUGUAUAAGGUGACCUUGGUUGUCUUGAAAGGCGCCUCUAAAUUAAAUGUAUUAUUAUUAUUAUUUAUCUAUUUGUUAGACCUCCAGACAUCCCAGCACGUUUGCUUUAUUUCAGUCCAACAUCUCAUCCAGGUCGUGCACUCUGCUGAUGUCUAAGUAAUCAAUAUCAAAUGAUCCCUUAUUCCUCAGAUUGCGCAGACAACAGCGUCAGGUCUAACUGCGUGUAAUGGAGGCUAAACGGUGGCACUUUAGCAAAAGUUCUGCUCGUUUUGUACUCAAUCAACAGCAGACACCAAAGGCACCUCUGACCUCUGAGCAUUGCCUCAAAUCGAGCUGCUUAGAGGAAGGAUCAAUCACCACCAUAUG